CAGCUCCACAUGUGGCAUGUGGAGACGCUUCGUAUACCUUUGCCUCCUCCUGGCCUCCAUUCUCUCCUGCAUAGUUACAUCCCUGCUUCUAGCCCACUCAGGUCUUCCUCUCCACCUGGCUCUGUCUCCCGCUUUCUCUUUCCUUUUUAGCUUUCCUACCAAGACUCUGAGAGCACCCACUCCUUCUGCGUUUUCUUCCCUCUUCCCCUACCCCCUUUCAGGCUUCAGUCUCCCUCUGUCUCCUUCGUCCCCUUCUUCCACCUCCACUCCAUUCCUUUCUCCCUAGUUCUGAAGCAAGUGGGCCAGAGAAUCUGUCUCCUCCCCUUUGCCUCUCCUCUCCCCGCUCCUCCCCCAGACACACAAAAGGGGACAGAGGCACCAGAUGGCCCUGGUGCUAGCAGCCGGGCUCAGGGGGCCUGCUGCCCACAGAGGUCCCCGCUGGGCCUGCAAGCUAGUCCAAGCUGCUGCCCGGCCCAGCCGCCCAGCUGGCAGAGAAGCAGGGCACGGGGCCAGCCUCCUCCACACGAGGCCAGCUCCCCCUGCCAGCUCCCCAUGCCCGGCCUGCCCCUGGGCCAGCCCUCAAGUGGGGGCGGGGGGCGGCGGGCAGACUCACCAGCUGAAAAGCAGAGAGUGUCCCCAGGUGUCUGAGCCUCAGUACCAGAGUACAGGGCCCAGUGGCCUACAGGGAUACUAGGAUUUCCCAGGAGGGAUAGGAGUGCCUGGCAAUCUGCUCUUUCUAUGUAACAGACUGUGCCAAGGAGGGGCCUCAGCGAUGGGCCUUCAGGAAAGCCACGUGGUGCACGGCAGAAGUUUCCAAUCCUGGCCAUGACGAGUGCCUGAGGGACUUUUUAAAAACCAAGAUCCCAAGACUUCUCCUCUGGAGAUUCUGAUGUGUACCCAGCCUCUCUGGGAGACACUUAAUGCAAGAGCACCCUGUGAAAGAGGCAGCCUGGGUUUCCUUUGAGAAAAGAUGCUUUGAUCCCUCCCGGCCUCAGUUUCCUGGUACAAAAACAUGAAGACGAUGUUUACUUGACCAACACGUCACACGUAUCGUAUGGUGCCUGGCCUGGUGCCAGGAGUACUGUCGACGAGCAGUUGAUGUCAGCUCUCUUUCACUUCCCUCCAGACACUUGAGGUUCCAGAGUCCAGACUUCAGAAGGAUCAAGAGAAAGGGCCCAAGGAGUGUCUACUCUCUCCCAUUGCUCAGAGGUAUCACCAGGAAGAGAAGAAGAGUGAGUGGUUCGAUGCACAGGCUUGAGCACCAGACUGCCUGAGUUCACAUCCAGGUACUGCUGGUAUGACCUUGCACAAGUUGCUCAACCUCUCUGUGCCUCAGUUUCCCCACCUAUGGAAUUGGGCUGAUAGUAAUGGUACGUACUUCCUAGGACAUGUGUGUGAAGUGCACAGGGUAAGCACCUAUGUCACUGUUUUAUUACCCAGGAAACUUGAUUCCAUGCCACCUGGAACUACCUUCUCUCCCCAGCAAGGGCACUGGUAACACUGGGAGGAAGGACAGGGAAGCCUGGCAUGCUGCAGUCCAUGGGGUCACAAGUGGGACACAACUGAGUGACUGAACAGCAACAACACUGGGAGAGGGACAGUGAUCAGCGGGAUCCAAGCACCAGCAAUUUCCCUCCCAACACCCAGCCCCCUGGGUGGCUCUGGGGGCUCUCACCUCAGGGCGCCGCCCCUUGCUGCCCACUUCCUUUAUCUGCAAGGUGCUUUAUUCACCAUCACUAUCUUCCCUUUCCUACUAACUCUGCGCAUCCUCAGGGUCAGGGCUGGGAAUAAAAUGAGUCAAAGCUUAGGGCAUAAAACUUAAGGAAACUUACUCUCAGCUUUGUGCAAGUGCUCCUGGCUCAGGUCAGGCGUCACCUCCUCCAAGAAGCCCUCUCUGAAUCCCAUUCAUCCAAGUCUUCUUGGAUGUCCCUCACCUCUGAUCAAAAUCCAUGGCAACUUUCCGUUGACUAGCUGGCUCCCAUACCAACCUGUGCUCCAGAACGUCAGGCACAUAGCAUCUUCCUUUCUCCUCC
ensembl:lncRNA